UGCCAGGAAAGAAUUAUUCAAGCCCUUCCCAGAAGGUAUCCUUCUGGCAAGGGUACUGUACUAAACUAACUAAAGUGGGGGAUAGUGAGGGGAUAAAUUUUCUUAAGGAACUCGGCAAAAUCCCAAUGGCCCACCAGGGCAUAUUGGAACACGGGCCUCGACUGUUUACCAAAAACAUAGCCCUCGGCUAAUAUGAAAAUAGAUGUAUAGAGGGUGAUGCCUGCCCAAUGGUUGUAUCUAAAAGCGGUUGAUAAAAGUUGACCUCGUAAGGACAAUUGAAUGGCCGCGGUAACACUGACCGUGAUAAUGUAGCGUAAUCAAUAGCCAAUUAAUUGUUGGCCAGUAUGAAUGGCGCCACGAAGGCCCCACUGUCUUAAGGAAAUUCCCAGUGAAAUUGAAUUCGUAGUGAAGAUGCUACGUCCAAUUUGUUAGACGAAAAGACCCCGUUGAGCUUUACUGGAGCACUUACAUGGCCCCGGCCUUCCCAUGCCUGGGAACCGGCCGAAUUUAAAUGGGCGGCUUAGAUUAUGUGGCAGCCCCCCGCUGGGGCAAAUGAAACACCACUCCCCCAUGUCAAAGGGGCUAACCCCCCCCCUUGGGGGGACAGUGUAAGUAGGACAGUUUGGUUGGGGCGACCACCUUUUAAAAAGUAACGAAGGUGCGCUUAAGGUGCGCAAUUAAUGACUGAAGCCUGACUGCGAGGGGGACACCCCGAGCAGACACCCCAAAGCCCGCCCGAAAGGUGGCGGUGGGGUGGGCCAUAGUGACCCGUUAAUUUAGAGUGGAAUAGUUAACGAUCAACGAAUAAAAGUUACCACGGGG
rnacentral:rRNA from 1 species